CGGUCUGUGGGUGUGGACCGGCCCGCGCCCCGCCCUAGCCGGGGGUGGUCGCCGCGGGCCGUUUCGCCGGGUCUUGCCCGGCCUGGCCGA
rnacentral:tRNA from 1 species